rnacentral:lncRNA from 1 species
GCAGAUCUGCUGCUGAUGGAGCCAAGUGCUCCGCAGGCUGCAGGAGCCUACUGAUAUUUGGGUUUCACCGCCUGUGCCAAUCUUGGAGUCUUUUUGGUUUGAAUGCGUCAGUCUUGUCUGGAAAUCUAUCCCGGGGCUAUUUUUAGCCAGUUUGCUCAGGGGAUCAGCUGCUCUAUGAAAACAUUGUGUACGCAGGGCCAGUUGCUCCUCUGUGGUCACUGAUUUCAGCAGGUGACCACAAGAUCCCUGCUACUCCAGCACUGGGGAUUGAACCCAGAGAUGCUGUACCACUGAACUACAUUCCCAACCUUUAUUUUAUUUUAUUUUAUUUUGAGACAGGGUUUCACUCAGUUGCUGACGCUCAUGCCUCAGCCUCCCUAAUAGCUAGAUUACAGGCACGGACCACCAUGCAUAGCGAUAGCAAGGUUUUAAGAUAUGCCUGUUCCUUGGGUGGACCUGGCUGGGGGACUGAUGUGGAACCCUGGGUUCCUGAAUCUUAAAACAGACCUAGGGGUCUCCAUCAUCAGCUCUUGGGGACUUCUGGUCCCUUUGGGACAGUGUGGUGACUGAAUGCUGUAGGGAUGUUUGUGCUCUGGCCUCAACUUCACACAAACCUCUGCACAAGCCGCUUGCUCGGCCAGGAAUACACUUCCCUUCCCCCUUUUAGGCUUUCAAGCCUCGACUCUAGUUUCCCUUCAGAAUGCUUCUCCUUUUCCCACGCAGCAGAGCUGGUCACUUUCACCUCUGAGUCCUCAGGGACUUUGUACCUGUCACCUCCCCAUCACGUGAUAGGAGGCUUGAGUGGACCUGGCUGGUUUCUGUCUGCUCCUCCACGUAGUGGGGACUCUGGAGGGAGAGACCCUCGGUGCCCGUUCUGGUUUCUGCACAUCACGGGACUUUGCAAAUGUCUUCUGGGCAAGGCGAGCCAGGACUGCAGAAAGGGAAUGUGGGGGCCCGCGGGGCACUGUGAGUGCUGUGUGGAUGACGAGCUGGGGAGUCACAGGUCCGGAGACCCACACCGUUUCCAUGAGGGCACUCGCAGCUGGCUCUUCUCAGGAUGACAAACCCAGAUGUCAGAGACUUUAAUUCACUUCAACUGAAAUCUCUAGAAAGGAACUUGUAUGUCACACUUCUGGGAAGUAAUGGCCACUUUUUUUGACCAGACACCCCAGCCCUUGGCCAUCCA